rnacentral:lncRNA from 1 species
GUCCCUGUCCUUGGGGCUUGCAGACAACUGGAUAGCUGAGUGUGUGGGUCCACGAGAUAGCUUGGAAAGUAAGGGUGUUUGCUGCUAAGCCCGAUGACCCAGAAUUCACAUUACAAGGAAAGAGAACCGAUCCGCAGGAGCCCGUGUCUGCAUGCAGGACUCUGAAAAUAUGAAGCUUUACCUGAGCAGAGCGUUCACAGGAUUUCCUCUUUGUCUCUCCAUACCCAAAAUACUAAAAGAGGGUUCAUGCCUCACUUAAUAAAUGCAGGCUGGGCAGACUUUAU